GAUGCCCCAAGAGGGUACGACAAAUUCUUCUAGAACUAAUAAGGCAACUUCACAGAGAAACAGUAUACGGGAUAAACACAUAAAGGUACGCGGAAUUCCUCUAUGCCAGCAACGAAUAUGGAGGCUCCACAAUCAAACACACCUUCACAAAGAAACUACUUCGUACAAAGAAACUACUUCGGGAUAAAUCUAACAGUGCCUGUCCAGGCAUCCCACGCCGAAAGCUCUUUAGCACUGAUAAAGGAAGUCCAAGAUAUAAAUCAAUGGAGAGAUACACCAUGUUCGGGCCUGGAAGACUAAGCAUCGCCACGAUGUCGAUUCUCCCCAGACUGAGAGAGAGAUUUAACGCCAUUUCUAUCAAAAUCCUGUCAGCUUCGUUUGUUUUCGUAGAGACAGACCAAAAUAUUCUAAAAUGUAUGUGGAAGGACAAAGGAAUUAGAGUAGUUUCGAAACCGGUUUUGAAAAGAAUAGUAAUUUGGGAACACAAGUGUUUAGAGUUUCCGAACUUAGUAGUAGUUGUAAUAAGGAAGCCCGUGUUGGUAUUUGCAGAAGGACAGUCCCACACAACAGAACAGAACAGAACAAAGAAUCCAGAAAGAGUCCCCACAAAUAUGCCCACCUGAGUUUUGAAAAGGGUGCUAACGCAAUUCCAUUCCAGACAGCUCGGUUUUGUACCGACUACGGCCACCUAAAGCUUGCGAUGAACUCAGACAGGCCACCCUCAGAAAACAGCAGCAGCAGCAGCAGCAGCAGCAGAGGAGGAGGAUGGUGGUGUGACCGAGGUCCUACCAGGCUUCUGUGAGGCUUGCUUCUUGUCUGGCGUCUCAAGACCCCACAGCCUUGUCCCGGUGGGCGCAGCACCUCACAACCUCCAGACCCAUGGCCACUGGUCGGAGGACACCCCUUUGCAGCUCCUGAACGUCGUCCUCAAGGUCGGCGCGGAGGACGAAGAAGUGAGCAGCCCUUGGGAAGAUGCUUCUCUGCACGGAGCUCAGAAGAGCCCAGAACGGGGCUUCACUGACGGAGCUGCUAACUCUGUGGGGGGCCUGGAGACAGCGAGAGUGGAAAUGCGGCCGAACCAGGCAGAUGAGGUUUCAGCCUUGUUGGGGCUCAAGUCCUGCUAGAAGAGACCGACUUGAAGCCAGUAGGAAACAUCUUUAUCAUUGGCCUUGAUUCAUUCAUCACAUAGUGUCCAACGUGGAUUCCGUAUGCUGACAACCUGCCUGGCGCAUUACUCCGCUGGCCGCUCCGGUCCAGACGUCAGGCCGUCCCCCGAGGGAAGCCGACCCCACCGGCCCCGAAAGUUCAUGCUUGGGGUGCUGAGCGCCAGGCUGUCCCAGGAAUGGGCCCCUUGGUCCCUGGCCCUCUAUUCCGGCCAGCAGUUCUGGGGAGGCCAAGGCUGGAGCCCGACACUCUCCGUGGUUUCGUGAUCGUUUAAGAAAACAGAAGGGACAAACGUUUCACCGUCUUUAAAAACACAGGAGUCUGAGGAGAGAAGCCAAGGUCCGCCGCUUGGCAGCUCCGCGGGAGGACGAAGCAUCCGUGUCCCUUGCUGACCCACGCUGCGCCGCCUCCUCAUGCCCACGCGGAAGCACGUUUUCAGGCGGCAGUAUUGGCACAGGUGGUGCUGGUCGAUCUGGCAGCGGCGGUCGGAGCGGCCGGUGUAGCUGUGGUUGCUGUG